GACGAACGCUGGCGGCGUGCUUAACACAUGCAAGUCGAACGGAAAGGCCCUGCUUUUGUGGGGUGCUCGAGUGGCGAACGGGUGAGUAACACGUGAGUAACCUGCCCUUGACUUUGGGAUAACUUCAGGAAACUGGGGCUAAUACCGGAUAGGAGCUCCUGCUGCAUGGUGGUGGUUGGAAAGUUUCGGCGGUUGGGGAUGGACUCGCGGCUUAUCCGCUUGUUGGUGGGGUAGUGGCUUACCAAGGCUUUGACGGGUAGCCGGCCUGAGAGGGUGACCGGCCACAAUGGGACUGAGAGACGGCCCAGACUGCUACGGGAGGCAGCAGUGGAGAGUAUUGCACAAUGGGCGGAAGCCUGAUACAGCAACGCCGCGUGCGGAAUGACGGCCUACGGGGUGUAAACAGCUUUCGACGGUGACGAAGCGUGAGUGACGGUAAUGGGUAAAGAAGCACCGGCUAACUACGUG
rnacentral:rRNA from 1 species